AUGCACUGUCUUUAAACCUGUGAUGUCUUUGAACUUGUAUCUUUACAGGCUACGCAACAGUGCUAAACUAUUGUACUUGUUGUAACUGGGGCCGCUCAGCAACAACUGGGUUGCUCUUUUAAAUGCAAGUUACACUU